rnacentral:tRNA from 1 species
UGAGAUAUUAGUAAAUAAUUACAUGACUUUGUCAAGGUCAAAUAACAGAGCUAUCUGUAUAUCUUAU